AACGAACGCUGGCGGCAUGCCUAACACAUGCAAGUCGAACGAUACCUUCGGGUCUAGUGGCGCACGGUUGCGUAACGCGUGGGAACCUGCCCUUAGGUUCGGAAUAACUCCCCGAAAGGGGUGCUAAUACCGGAUAAUGUCUCCGGCCCAAAGAUUUAUCGCCGUUGGAUGUGCCCGCGUUGGAUUAGCUAGUUGGUAGGGUAAAAGCCUACCAAGGCGACGAUCCAUAGCUGGUCUGAGAGGAUGAUCAGCCACACUGGGACUGGGACACGGCCCAGACUCCUGCGGGAGGCAGCAGUGGGUAAUAUUGGACAAUGGGCGGAAGCCUGAUCCAGCAAUGCCGCGUGAGUGAUGAAGGCCUUAGGGUUGUAAAUCUCUUUUACCCGGGAUGAUAAUGACGGUACCGGGAGAAUAAGCUCCGGCUAACUCCGUG
rnacentral:rRNA from 1 species